GACUAGCCAAUCAACACGUUUCUUACUGACCAUCCAAUCAGAGGAAGUCAAACUGUCCAAUCAGGGGGCAAAAGCUUCUAGCGCGAUCUGAUUACUUUAUCCAUCUGUAGUAUGCUGGAAUCAACAUGGAGGAGCCCGAGGGUGACGGGUUCAGUUUGUUCUCAAGUCUUUUCUGACAAAGAGAACAGCAAUCCAGCCCUGCGCUUUGGCUGGUGCCCUGCUGUCCAUCUACUCUACUCUACUCUCUUCUAUCAAAGUGGCUCUCUGUCUUUGGAACUUUGCUGAGUGUAAACAAAUGUAAAAGUAAUAGCACUGCACACAUUGUAUUAAUUCACCCUGAUUCACAUAUAAUUGUACCGAAGUUAUAAGCAUUUACAUUGUUUGAAUCAAUAAAUGUAUAUAAGUG